UUACGGCCACAUCAAGUUGAAACACCAGUUCUAGUACGAUCGCCGAAGUUAAGCAAUGUGGAGCCUUGUCAGUACCCAGAUGGGUGACCACUUGUGAAUACCAGUUGCUGUAAG